rnacentral:rRNA from 1 species
UACGUAGGGUGCAAGCGUUAAUCGGAAUUACUGGGCGUAAAGCGUGCGCAGGCGGCUUGCAAGACAGAUGUGAAAUCCCCGGGCUUAACCUGGGAACUGCAUUUGUGACUGCAUGGCUGGAGUGCGGCAGAGGGGGAUGGAAUUCCGCGUGUAGCAGUGAAAUGCGUAGAUAUGCGGAGGAACACCGAUGGCGAAGGCAAUCCCCUGGGCCUGCACUGACGCUCAUGCACGAAAGCGUGGGGAGCAAACAGG